rfam:Triticum aestivum genome assembly, contig: Triticum_aestivum_CS42_TGACv1_scaffold_592865_7BS
UUUGUACUCCCUUCGUCCCAAAAUUCUUGUCUUAAAUUUGUCUAAAUACGGAUGUAUCUAGUUACAUUUUAGUGUUAGAUACAUCCAUAUCUAAACAAAUGUAAGACAAGAAUUUUGGGACGGAGGGAAUACUAC